UGGCACAGCCAUCGCCAUAACCAUAGCUUACGAGUCGCCUGUGGUACCUGUGGGUCGCCGGCCGGCGGCUUGGUCAAACGUGCGCAUUCUGACUAGUCUCGCAUAUGAAUUCAGCGCGAGAUAGAUGCUGCGAUUUUACGUGCGAUCCGUCGUACGACGCGUUGGAGUUUGACUUUCCGCGUACGUCGAUUCCGGACACAUGACUGCGCAAGGCACGUACAGUUUUCAGGCAUAAACUGGGCCAAUGCAGCUCACAGGGUUGCGAGGCAGCAUGUGGUGUCCACAGGAGUACAGUAUAGCUUUGCUGACCUCGCCCUAUUCUCCGCCCACGGUAAGCCCCAACGCAUAUGCAUGGUUUGGAACAGUGAAAAUUCCACAGAAACUGUAGUGGAGCAACCAGCCAUCUCCUCCUCCAAUUCGCCGAAGCCCAUGGAGGUGGUAUGCCAUGCUUGCAGUCCACCUCAGCAGCGAAGAUUAGAUGUAUGUCACUGAUGGAUGAAGAGCAUCAUGUUGUGGCCCCAACCCAUCGAGGCCUUCCAGCUGUCAACCUGCAACUACGAAAAGUGACAAGUCAUAUCGGGGACGCCGCCACCACUGUGACUUCUGUGACUAUAGGACUGAUCAUAGGUCUCAUCUGAAAGCACACACCAUCAUCCAUACAGCCAUGCCACAUCUGCCAUGAAGAAUACAUUGACCACCCCAUCAACACUUCACCUAACGUUACCAUUUGUCAUGGCGCUCUUCCCCAUGCGUGGAAGAAGUGUUAGGUGGCCCUUGUGCCAUCCUUAGCAACUUGCGAUUCGCUGACGAUAUCGCCUUGCUUAGUGACUCAGGGGACCAAUUGCAAUGCAUGCUCACUGACCUGGAGAGGCAAAGCAGAAGAGUGGGUCUAAAAAUUAUUCUGCAGAAAACUAAAGUAAUGUUUAACAGCCUCGGAAGAGAGCAGCAAUUUACAAUAGGCAGCGAGGCACUGGAAGUCGUAAGGGAAUACAUCUACUUAGGGCAUGUAGUGGCGGCGGAUCGGGAUCAUGAGACGGAAAUAAUCAGAAGAAUAAGAAUGGGCUGGGGUGCGUUUGGCAGGCAUUCUCAGAUCAUGAACAGCAGGUUGCCAUUAUCCCUCAAGAGAAAAGUAUAUAGUAGCUGUGUCUUACCAGUACUCACCUACGGGGCAGAAACCUGGAGGCUUACGAAAAGGGUUCUACUCAAAUUGAGGACGACGCAACGAGCUAUGGAAAGAAGAAUGAUAAGUGUAACGUUAAGGGAUAAGAAAAGAGCAGAUUGGUUGAGGGAACAAACGCGAGUUAAUGACAUCUUAGUUGAAAUCAAGAAAAAGAUAUGGGCAGGGGCAUGACAUGUAAUGAGGAGGAAAGAUAACCGAUGGUCAUUAAGGGUUACGGAGUGGAUCCCAAGGGAAGGGAAGCGUAGCAGGGUACGGCAGAAAGUUAGGUGGGCGGAUGAGAUUAAGAAGUUUGCAGGGGCGGCAUGGUUACAAUUAGUACAUGACCAGGGUGGUUGGAGAAGUAUGGGAGAGGCCUUUGCCCUGCAGUGGGCGUAGCCAGGAUGAUGAUGAUGAUGUGCCAUCAAACGCCACACAUCAUCAUCAUCUCUGUGAUUGCUACCUGUGGUAGUGUUGUUUGGUACACAAUAAGAUGUCAUCUUUUUCCAUCAAGCUCGUGUUCUCAUUGCUUCUAUGUCCUUGCGUGAGUGUAUCUUUUUAACCUUUUUUUCAGUAUUAGUAUUAUUCUGUUUCACCCAUUUCAUUAUAUUUUUGCACAUAGCAUUUCUUGAUUAUUUGAUUGUUCAUACCCUCGAAUUAAAAUUCAUUUAGCUUAAUUUGUUUUAGUGCAUGAAAUAAAUGUUCAUGUUUAGUGAGUGCGCAUUGUUUAUUCUUGUUGAUACAGUAAAAGCCUGUUAACUCGAAGACUUUGAGAUACCGCAGCAGACCACAGCAGAAGAGCAUUUCGUGAAAUGAUAUGGAAAAUACAUGGGGUUGACACCAAAGCAGUGAAAAAAUUUCAACUUUGCCAAUAUUUCGUGCUUAUGACUGCUUAUCAUAUUUCGAGGCUUGCAUGUAUAGCAUGUAAUCAACUUCUUCAGUUUUGUUCGCCAUUUAUCCCAUUGGCUGCUCCAAGAGAAAUUGGGCGAUGGCACUUGGAAGUUUGUUUGUUAUUGUCAUUUAAUGCGCUUGCUAUGACAGACAUUUAUCAGCAAUUUGAGUUUUUAGCUUAACGUUAAAACCAUGUGCUUACUCCACUUCUACAUUGACACAAAUACAGUAGUGACAGUUCUACUGACACUUGCCCAUCAUCUUUCUCUAGUCCUAUUUUCUUUAAGUGCCUCAAAGGUUUGUUUUUGUUAGAAAUAAAAGUAAUUGGAUGGAAUUCAUGCACAAUAGAGAACUUAUUCUCCUUUUUUUAAACAUAUUAGUUUCUCAAUAUUUUAACUGAUUAAUUUUUUGUGCACCCUGGAAGUGGGAAAGUGUGCAGGGCUUGGGGUUAAAAUGAAGCCAGGGAGAGAGCUGUAAGAUAGGCUUUACACAGCUUAUAAAAAAUAUUGAUAUACAAGCAAUAUAAAAGCAUUUCUUCAAGUUGUAUCAUUUAAAUAAGAAAUUUAAUCGUAAGUAUAUUGGUAACAGGUAUCCUUAAACACACAUGAAGACAAUUGCCGCAAAUUACGAAAUAUGCCAAGACACUUGCAUCCUUUGAAUGCUUGUACAUGUGCACACAAAAUGUGGCCGAAAUUGAGCCACACUAGCUACAAACAAUUUUUUUGCACAAGUACUAGUAAAAACAUUGUAAUGUUUAAAAGAAAGAGGGAAAUGAAGU